GGGUUCUAGAUCAUAAAAAUAAUCUUACAUUUGCACCAGAAAGGUGAUAUGCUGAACUUUCUAGAGAUACAUCGUCGGAGGCUGUAAUUAGGUCAAGGUCGCCAGUUUCGGGGUGGACUCCAAAUCGAGGCUGGUGUUGGGAGCCCACGUGCUCCAUAUUCUUUCACAGCGAAAUUUUCAGGCUCCCUUCCUAUGGUGUUUUUAGGGGUAAAAUUAUUGGAAUAUAGCAUGUAGGGGGAAAAACACAAAUUUGUACCAGUUGCAUUAUUGGUUGUGUGUUCCAAUGACUGAAGAUUUGUUUAGUGCUUGGAGUAAGGAGGAUACCAACUUCAUCUGCAAUCGCUGUGCCUUUACAGUAGAUUUAGUCUACGAUUUUGAAGCUGCUUGCAGGCGAUUGAGAAACAAUCCUACCCAGGUACUGUGUUC